GACGAACGCUGGCGGCGUGCCUAAUACAUGCAAGUCGAACGCACUCUCGUUUAGAUUGCGGGAGUUUGCUCCUGAUUGAUAAACAUUUGAGUGAGUGGCGGACGGGCGAGUAACACGUGGGUAACCUGCCCUAAAGUGGGGGAUAACAUUUGGAAACAGAUGCUAAUGCCGCAUAAAACCUAACCCCGCAUGGUGUAGGGUUGAAAGAUGGUUUCGGCUAUCACUUUAGGAUGGACCCGCGGUGCAUUAGUUAGUUGGUGAGGUAAAGGCUCACCAAGACCGUGGUGCAUAGCCGAGCUGAGAAGGUAAUCGGCCACACUGGGAAUGAGACACGGCCCAGGCUCCUAAGGGAAGCAGCAGGAGGGAAUCUUUCACAAAGGACGAAAGGCUGAUGGAACAACGCCGCGGGAGGGAAGAAAGGUUUCGGAUCGUAAAACUCUGUUGGUGGAGAAGAAUGUAUCUGAUAGUAACUGAUCAGGUAGUGACGGUAACCAACCAGAAAGCCACGGCUAACCACGGGC
rnacentral:rRNA from 1 species